AGUAAACUGGUGGUGGAGGAGAGUGCAUUGGUGGUGGCGGGGACUUGUACUUGUAAACUGGUGUUGGUGGUGGUGGAGAGUGCAUUGGUGGUGGUGGAGACUUGUAUUUGUAGACCGGUGUUGGUGGUGGUGGGGAAUGCUCGGGUGGUGGUGGAGAUUUAUAAACUGGAGUUGGUGGUGGUGGAGACUUGUACUUGUAAUGGUGUACUGGUGCGGGAGAAUGCUUAGGUGGUGGUGGAGACUUGUACUUGUAGACGGGUGUUGGAGGUGGUGGAGAUUUAUACUUGUAGACCGGUGUUGGUGGUGGUGGAGACUUGUACUUAUAGUGAUGUUCUGGUGCGGGAGAAUGCUUAGGUGGUGGUGGAGACUUGUACUUAUAGUGAUGUUCUGGUGCAGGAGAAUGCUUAGGUGGUGGUGGAGAUUUGUACUUAUAAACCGGUGUUGGUGGUGGUGGAGACUUGUACUUAUAAUGAUGCACUGGUGCGGGGGAAUGCUUAGGUGGUGGUGGAGAUUUAUACUUGUAAACCGGUGUUGGUGGUGGUGGAGAAUGUUUUGGCGGAGGUGGAGACUCAAAAUGAUAAGGCGUUGGAGGAGAAUGCAUAGGAGGUGGUGGAGACUUGUACUUGUAAACCGGUGUAGGUGGUGGUGGAGAAUGUUUAGGCGGGGGCGGGGAUUUGUAGUGGUAAGGCGGAGGAGGAGAAUGCUCCGGGGGUGGAGGAGAAUGCUCGGGAGGUGGUGGAGAGGAGUAAGAGUAUUUAGCUGUGGUUUGUGAAGCCAAAUUGAGGGACACCAAUACUACAAGCAAAGACACAAUGAGAGACCUCAUUUUGGAGCCUCUAGCAAUCCUUCCCAUGUUUACUACAACCAAAAGGCU
rnacentral:lncRNA from 1 species